CUCCCUCAGGCCCAGAAGAAGCUGCGACGGAGGCACAUGACAAGCUUGAAGAUGCUUUUAUUGAGAAGGAGAGGGACUGAACAGAUUCUUGACAAGCCUAGGCAUAAAUGCUCCAGGUUUGGGAAAGAGCAGCUGCAGCCAGCCGUCCCUGACCUGCAGGAUCAAGUCUUGGCUCCACACCCGGCCCUGUGCAUCCAUCUCGAACAGCUUCUGCAAGGCAUCCUCAGGCCCCUGGACUCUCUGACUCCCCUGCUUGCAUGUCAUCAAGUGCUGCAGGGAGAGGGAGAGUCCUAGGACUGGGAGAAAGCUCAGAGAGGGGGACCACAGGCGUGCUGGGUAGAGAAAAGCAGAAGAGGAAGAAGACGUGUCCUCGGCCCCCUUGAGUGAAUAGCCAUGGAGCUCCUAAAAAGAAUGGGACCUUUCACUUGACCUCCCUUCUCUCCCUUGCCUACUGCCCCUGAGCGAGUGCUUCAGCUACAGUCUGGGAGCCGAAGAUGCCUGUGUUUGAUGCCUCCAGCACCCUGUCUCUGCAUCUCGAAUCCAGCCACGUGACCAUCUCUUGCCCACCUUUGGCCAAUGUCCCUGAGACAUUUCAAGUGCAUCAUGCUGCAGACUGGGGCUGCUGUCUCCACAAUACCGUGCUUUCCCUGUGUCCCCAUCUCAGUCUUUGGUCCCACUAUCCACUUCCCACAUGCAGCCACUGAGUCCUCUAUUUUUCUUCCUUAAAUCUCCAGAAUCUGCUGACAGUUUUACUUCUCUGUUAUUACUGCUUUAAUUCAGACCCCACCCCCCACCCCACCACAGUCCUUUACCCCUUAUUCCCCCACACCCUCCCGAGCCUUUCCCGCCAUCUCCUUUCCAGGGGAUACACCCUUCUGAGCUCUCUCCAGCUCUGCCCAACAGAGUUUUCUAAAAUUCCGAUCUGCACAUGUCACUCCCUGGCUUAUAAAUCCUUCAGUUGCUCCCAUGCUUUAAAAGAAAAUCAUACACCUUGACUUUGCACAUGGCAUUUGAGCUCUGCCUCUGCUGGUUACCAGGUCUCACCCUGCUGCUGCAAACCCAGACACAAAGACAACCCAAAGCUCCCUGAAGGCACCUGCAGCACUUUGCCUCUCCACACCUUGCUGCUGCGUCGGCCUCCCUGCUU